rnacentral:rRNA from 1 species
AGCGAACGCUGGCGGCAGGCCUAACACAUGCAAGUCGAACGAACCCUUCGGGGUUAGUGGCGGACGGGUGAGUAACACGUGGGAACGUGCCUUUAGGUUCGGACUAACUCAGGGAAACUUGUGCUAAUACCGAGUGUGCCCUUCGGGGGAAAGAUUUAUCGCCUUUAGAGCGGCCCGCGUCUGAUUAGCUAGUUGGUGAGGUAAUGGCUCACCAAGGCUACGAUCAGUAGCUGGUCUGAGAGGAUGACCAGCCACAUUGGGACUGAGACACGGCCCAAACUCCUACGGGAGGCAGCAGUGGGGAAUCUUGCGCAAUGGGCGAAAGCCUGACGCAGCCAUGCCGCGUGGAUGAUGAAGGUCUUAGGAUUGUAAAAUCCUUUCACCGGUGAAGAUAAUGACUGUAGCCGGAGAAGAAGCCCCGGCUAACUUCGUGCCAGCCGCCGCCGUAAUAC